GGCACACGCUAGGGGUCCUGCACAUCAUUGCGAUGCGCGGGUGAGAAAUACCCUCCGAACCUGAUCUGGAUAAUGCCAGCGAAGGGAAGCUUAGGACAUCGCCG
rnacentral:ncRNA from 2 species